GACGGACGCUGGCGGCGUGCUUAACACAUGCAAGUCGAACGGAAAGGCCUGCUUUCCCUUGUGGAUUGCGGGUACUCGAGUGGCGAACGGGUGAGUAACACGUGAGUGAUCUGCCCCCAACUUGGGUAUAAGCCUGGGAAACUAGGUCUAAUUCCCGAUAGGACUGCAGGGUGGUUCCUGUGGUGGAAAACGAUUUUCUAGUGGUUGGGGAUGCGCUCGCGGCCUAUCAGCUUGUUGGUGGGGUAAUGGCCUACCAAGGCGGCGACGGGUAGCCGGCCUGAGAGGGUGGACGGACACAUUGGGACUGAGAUACGGCCCAGACUCCUACGGGAGGCAGCAGUGGGGAAUAUUGCACAAUGUGCGGAAGCCUGAUGCAGCGACGCCGCGUGGGGGAUGACGGCCUGCGGGUUGUAAACUCCUUUCGACCGCGAGGAAGCCACCUGGUUGGAAGGGUGGUGACGGUAGUGGUAGAAGAAGCACCGGCUAACUACGUG
rnacentral:rRNA from 1 species